AUUUCGCUGACGCUCCUUUUCCUCUCUCGCAGGCACUCGACAGUCUAUAGAGCAGAAAUAUUGAUUUUUUCUUUCCCCCCUCUCUUCUCUUCUCUCUUAAAACCCGGGCGAGAAUAAAACGAGACAAGCGAUGAAGCCGAGGACGCGGAGGAGAUAAACAUGGGAGACCAUUCCUGACGCGGGGAGGUGGAGGAGAGAUUCAUAAUUUCUCAACGUUCGCGCGUCUGGGUGAAAAAAGAACCUGUUGGAUGUGCUUCGAUUUUCUGGGUAUCGAACCGCAAAACGAGCAGGUAAGUGUCUGCAAAGUGAGCCGCGCUCUCGCCGCAUCAGACACACUCGGCUCCAAAUUGAUAAAUUUCACACGGCUUUAUUUUAUUUUUUAUUUUUCUUUUCUGCACUUUACCCCCCCCACGGUAAUUUCCACUCGGCAACAGCGGCGUGUGAAACGAUGGCGUGCCGGGGGGAACGGUAUACGUCCACCGCGACGCAUAAAUGAAUAAAAAGCCGCAGCUGUCCAAGUGGCUGGAGUUGAUUUGACAGGGAUCAACUUUUAAUGAACAGCCGUGUGCCGGGGAGAAACCAGCCGACGCCCGCUGGGGGCGGCGGCAUUAAAGGUUUAUGAACGAUGGCGGUGUUGGGCGUGAUUGCCGGCGAAGGGCCGCGGCCUCCGGAGGGUUGAAAGCUCGGCGCGUGGCGCCUUCGCCGGGCCCGUGAUCAAAUGCACCAGGACAAGGGGACCAUGUGGGAUCUGGAGAUUACUGAGACGGCCACAGGACUGCUCACGGGCCGAGACGAGGGCGCCGCCCACUCAGCACGGAGAAUGCGCCGGAAACCCGAGAGGUGUGGGAGCUGGGUAGAAGAGGGAAGCCACUGCGCCUCUCACACAAGCGCAGGCCUCCGCCGAUCAGGAGCCAGAAGGCCAUUAAAGGAGCACUUUUUGGGCGUGGCACAACUGGGUUCUCCUGCCGGAACACCUUAAGAGCGCCUUAAACAAAACAGUGGCGGGUUAAAGGCCGUUUGGAUUUCUGAGGGACCGGAACGAGCUGACAUCUCCUUUGAGGUACAAGUACAAGCUCCCUGCGGUUCACCUACGCGGUCUAACAGACAAGAGCGGUUCCUCCGUCACUCCAUGGAAACCUCCGCACCAGGAGACCUCCAUGGAGCCCCUGUGGGGACUUGUGUGGCACAUUUUCUAAUUCAAAGAGGGGAAUAAUAAACAAUGACUACGGCAGUAGCGGCAGUGAUCGCGACACAAUCGAGCAGGAUGGGAGCGUUAAUGAGGACGGACUCGAAAGCAGGCGCGUGAUGUCAUCUCCCCUUUCUUCCACGAUCCUUUGAAAGGCGCCGUGCCGUCAGCGAAGACCUCGUGGGAAACUACCAGCACACGAUGUUCAGCCUGGAAUUAACGUCCAUCUUUGAUGUUCCAGUCGCAUGUCCUCAUUAGAAUGUGCCUCUGACUUUCAACUGGUUUUUAUUUCUCAAACGUUUUGUCAUUGUUCCAGAAAACAUCUCUUAAACCUUGAAUCCCAUAGAUCCAAAUUGACCACUGAGAUUUCAAAAUGUACAUAUGUACAGUACAGGUCAUUCAUAGUUUUGAUGCCUUCAGUGAGAAUCUACCAACGUAAAUGGUCAUGAAAAUAAAGAAAACACGUUGAAUGAGAAGGUGUCCAGACUUUUGGCCUCUACUGUACAUCUCCACGCCACCUGCAUCGCCACACCUCUGCAUUCGAAGGGUGUACUGGUACCCAAAGUACAGAAGAGCACAGCUGGGAGCAGAUCCUUCUCCUAUAGAGCUCCACAGUUGUGGAACAGCUUGUCGCUCAGUGUUCGGGACUCAGACUCAGACAGUGUUUAAAUCUAAACUGAAAAAACAUCUGUUUUCUCUGGCCUUCUGUUAAAGUCCUAGACACAGUGUCAAUUAUUUACAUUUACAUUUACAUUUACAGCAUUUAUCAGACGCCCUUAUCCAGAGCGACUUACAAUCAGUAUUACAGGGACAGUCUCCCUGGAGCAAUUUUUAGGGUUAAGUGUCUUGCUCAGGGACACAAUGGUAGUAAGUGGGAUUCGAACCCGGGUCUUCUGGUUCAUAGGCGAGUGUGUUACCCACCAGGCUACUACCACCCAUUAUUAAGUGCACUUUAUUAAGUCACCUAGUCAACCUUGCCGCUGUUUCUGAUUGUUCUCUCUGAGGCACUGAAUCAGGCGCCCAGACCACCUCCAGAGUCUAAUGAAGAGACCACCAGAUGAAUCCUGGUCCCUGGCAAUGAGCUGCUAACUAGACGACUCAGCAUGGAACGAACCAGAGGGUCACCACAGCCACCAGGGAUCUUCAAAUGGACCAGUAGCAUCAUAAUGGACACGCAAUGUACACCAUAACACUGGACUAAACAACUACUCUGUUAUGGGCUAUAUAAGAAAUAAAUGCUGUUGUUGUCUGUUUGUCUAGACUAGACUGUCUUGUGGAAGUCCAUUUUUUUCCCGAUUCCCCCUUUGGAGCUGCAUGUGGGCAUUUUAGAUGUCCUGUGUAUAAUGAAAUGUGGCAGGAUGUAGGCAAGAUGCAUUUUGAAAUGUACAUUUUGUCCCUCUAUGUGUACCCAAACAGGCAGGCAAGUGCUGCAUAGAUUACAUUUAUUUUGUACGAUAACGGCAAUACUGAACUUACAUUCCUGGCAUUUAUCAUACGACCUUGUACCGUGGGCCUUACAAUCAGUAGUGACAGGGACAAUCCCCCUGGAGACACUUUAGAGUCCUGCUCAGGGACAGAAUGGUAGUAAGUGUUGUUUAAACCUGUGUUUUUGUGCCUCACCCACUAGGCCACUACCAUUCCCCUUGUCUAAAGGAGAGUUCAAAUGCCAACCGUGUGAUGACUGCUACGGUGUCUGGGAUCAGACGGGGAGGAAUGCUGCAGUCAGCUCUAGAGUUGCCACAGAGAAAGUCUGAGUCAACACGCAGUCAUCCGCCGAGACAAAGAGAAAGAGCUCAAUUUGACACAUGGAAGUGGAGGGGUCUCCAUCUGGGGCAGCGGCGCUUAUUUGAUGAGCUUUGGCAUUAUUAAAGGACUAUCCCUGCCCAAUAAAAUGGUCAUAUUCUGCCUUCAGAUAAUAGAUGUUGCCAUUCUAGCCCAAUAAUCGUGUCUAUAAUGAAAUCAGCGGAGGAGAAAAGAGGCGCCCUUUCAUUUCCUCUUGUGGGGCCGUAUGUUUUGUGUGUCCCAUUAUUCAUCAGGCCCCCUCAGCUGAUAACUCCCGCAUUUGCAUGUGAAUCAGAAGCACUCUGUAACGGCCCCCAAACACCUCGAUGCAAAUGAGCUGACCCAGAAAAGGGAUGGCAGGAACUUCGGCAUACCUGGAGUGCCGACAAGUGAGCCGGUGAGGACUUUCGCGGUGCUCCAGGGGCCAUCUCCUUCUGGCUAUCUGUCUAUCUUAGCGCUGCCAGCAGGAACAACAGCCGUCCUGCCUUAAAUAAUGGGGUCGAUCAACAAUUUGAGAAAGCACCGGUGCGGCCUGUAUGCACUCAGCAUGGACUUUCCUGCCGUUCAAAAUGCGAUUUCCCGACCCGACCCGACCCGACCUUCGAGAUGCGAGAUGUUGGCUUACAUGCAUAGUCUGUUGAUGGUAUAUAAAAAAUGGAUUAGAAAUCCGGGUAAACAACUGAAAGAUAACCUCAGUAAUUGGCAGUUUCAGAUGCUUUUUUCUUUGAUAAAGAAUUGAAAUGUAAACCUGAACAGUGUGUGGAAGUUGCAUGCUGUUGCUCCAGCCUGCCUCGCCA
ensembl:lncRNA